rnacentral:rRNA from 1 species
CCUGGCUCAGGAUGAACGCUAGCUACAGGCUUAACACAUGCAAGUCGAGGGGCAGCAUGGUCUUAGCUUGCUAAGACUGAUGGCGACCGGCGCACGGGUGAGUAACACGUAUCCAACCUGCCGUCUACUCUUGGACAGCCUUCUGAAAGGAAGAUUAAUACAAGAUGGCAUCAUGAGUCCGCAUGUUCACAUGAUUAAAGGUAUUCCGGUAGACGAUGGGGAUGCGUUCCAUUAGAUAGUAGGCGGGGUAACGGCCCACCUAGUCUUCGAUGGAUAGGGGUUCUGAGAGGAAGGUCCCCCACAUUGGAACUGAGACACGGUCCAAACUCCUACGGGAGGCAGCAGUGAGGAAUAUUGGUCAAUGGGCGAGAGCCUGAACCAGCCAAGUAGCGUGAAGGAUGACUGCCCUAUGGGUUGUAAACUUCUUUUAUAAAGGAAUAAAGUCGGGUAUGCAUACCCGUUUGCAUGUACUUUAUGAAUAAGGAUCGGCUAACUCCGUGCCAGCAGCCGCGGUAAUACGGAGGAUCCGAGCGUUAUCCGGAUUUAUUGGGUUUAAAGGGAGCGUAGAUGGAUGUUUAAGUCAGUUGUGAAAGUUUGCGGCUCAACCGUAAAAUUGCAGUUGAUACUGGAUAUCUUGAGUGCAGUUGAGGCAGGCGGAAUUCGUGGUGUAGCGGUGAAAUGCUUAGAUAUCACGAAGAACUCCGAUUGCGAAGGCAGCCUGCUAAGCUGCAACUGACAUUGAGGCUCGAAAGUGUGGGUAUCAAACAGGAUUAGAUACCCUGGUAGUCCACACGGUAAACGAUGAAUACUCGCUGUUUGCGAUAUACUGCAAGCGGCCAAGCGAAAGCGUUAAGUAUUCCACCUGGGGAGUACGCCGGCAACGGUGAAACUCAAAGGAAUUGACGGGGGCCCGCACAAGCGGAGGAACAUGUGGUUUAAUUCGAUGAUACGCGAGGAACCUUACCCGGGCUUAAAUUGCAGAUGAAUUACGGUGAAAGCCGUAAGCCGCAAGGCAUCUGUGAAGGUGCUGCAUGGUUGUCGUCAGCUCGUGCCGUGAGGUGUCGGCUUAAGUGCCAUAACGAGCGCAACCCUUGUUGUCAGUUACUAACAGGUUCCGCUGAGGACUCUGACAAGACUGCCAUCGUAAGAUGUGAGGAAGGUGGGGAUGACGUCAAAUCAGCACGGCCCUUACGUCCGGGGCUACACACGUGUUACAAUGGGGGGUACAGAGGGCCGCUACCACGCGAGUGGAUGCCAAUCCCCAAAACCUCUCUCAGUUCGGACUGGAGUCUGCAACCCGACUCCACGAAGCUGGAUUCGCUAGUAAUCGCGCAUCAGCCACGGCGCGGUGAAUACGUUCCCGGGCCUUGUACACACAGCCCG